GGGCCUAUAGCUCAGUCGGUUAGAGCAGCGGUCUCAUAAACCGUUGGUCCCUGGUUCGAGUCCAGGUGGGCCCA
rnacentral:tRNA from 2 species